rnacentral:rRNA from 1 species
CUAACAACUUCUACUUGUUAGCUUUCAGAACUACCUUCUCGCUCGUACGAUAGUAGCAGGCCAACAGCUCACACCCAAAUUCCCCAACCCUAGCUUGCGUACCAGCCGCCUCCUGGACCAAUCCUCUCCUCCAUCUUCCUCCAGCUUGCCGAUGGUGGAGACGAUCCGGUGCCUACCAGGGCGAGUAUGCCUAGCGGAGGUGCCAUUCAAGCUCCUAUUCGUCUUGUCGCUGGCGGUCUGGCUGCCCAAGCGGACCUCGCCCUGUCCUAAGCGAACAAGAACUGGAUGGUACUCUGCUCCGGCUACCAGAGGUCGACCUCGCCCCAUCCUUUUUUCUACCCCAAGCCGCCAUUCUCCACAUGUCGCCACCCACCCCACCGAAGCCGGAGAAGAAAACUCCAAUCUGAAGGAAGUCUAUGCAUGGCUGUGCAAGCUUUCACCCCCUCUGGAUCUGGAGCCUAUGUUCAUAUUUUCUCAAGGUAUCCAGAUAGAUUUUUGCAUGCCCGGUUUGUUUGUAUCAAAUUUCGCAACGUAUUUUACAUAUGCCAUGGCCUACUGGAGUAUCCGAACAAUAACUAUUGAGCUCUUUCUUAGGUCAGUUGCGGCAAAUGGCUAAAAGUGCUAUCUGGUCCUUCUAUAUGUUUGAGGAAUUUCAUCCUAAGUUUGACAUCUAGGUUAUGUAUCCUGGGUUGGAGCGGCGAACGAAGCUGGACAUAAUGACCGCCUCUCUUCUCAAAAUGUGUUGUUUGCAAUUCGUACAUGUUUCUAACGUACUUGCAUUUAUCUUCUCUGCUUAACUAGGUGGAUUGAGCCGAUGAAGGGUAUAUAGAGUUCAUGGAGGUUGCCAUAUAUUCCAACAGAUGAAGCUCGAGUAGCAACAAUCACUAAAAUAGGAGGCAAAAUGAUAGAUCUUGUUUGGCAUGUACCAUCAGGUCCUACUCGGUCUUCAUGCAAAUGUACUAAAAAUUAUCAAUGUAUGCCUCUUUUGUGUUGUGUUCUCAUGGACUCAAAUACUCGAAUGCUUGUUGAGCACCGAUAACUUCGGUCCUUUAUUUUCUCAUGCACUCAGACGCU